CUAGUGUUGGACCAUAUUUGCUGUCACGCCUCAAGCCUCAUCCUUUUGGCCGGUUCGAGAGCGUCGAACAGACGCCGAACGGACAGAGCCUCCCGUGUCCGCCCAAGGCUCAACAACAAGUAUCAAUAGAGUAUAAAGUUUGCAUAAGUGGAAGCAUACACAAUGGCUUGCACGAGGGCAAGCAAUAGCCAAUAGUGAAAGUAACAAACUACGCUUAAGAAAUCAAUUACAAUUUUCGCAUCAUUUCUUUUUACAUCUCAUUUCUCCAAAAUAUAACAUUGAUAUUAAAUAAAUUCUUUUACAUCAUUCAUGUCCUUUCAUUUAACAACUAUAAUCAUCGAAAUACAAAAGAUGAUAUAUCAAAAGGGUAUGCAACUAGGAAAUAAAACAUCUCGGGCGGUCUCUACCUAGGGCGCGAUGCCCUUACCGCGGUCGUCUACCGGCUCGCUCGGUCCCGGCUCUGUGGAAAUAGGGGUGUGAGAACUACAACAAAGUUCCCAGUGGGUUCGGCAACCAACCACGCCGACUAUCCCACUAGGUCUAAUCAGGCAUAAUAGAAUAGACGAAAGAAAGUAACCAACUAACAAAUGCAACUAAUAUGCCUGAACAAUAUAAAAUGCGAUGCUCGAUAUAAUGCUCAUGAUGAAUGCAAGAUUAUAAUUUCUUUACCCAAUCUCUUGGCUAACCCGUAGGUUUCGCCAUCAACAAACUCAC
rnacentral:lncRNA from 1 species